rnacentral:rRNA from 1 species
AGCGAACGCUGGCGGCAGGCUUAACACAUGCAAGUCGAGCGGGCAUCUUCGGAUGUCAGCGGCAGACGGGUGAGUAACACGUGGGAACGUACCCUUCGGUUCGGAACAACUCUGGGAAACUGGAGCUAAUACCGGAUACGCCCUUAUGGGGAAAGGUUUACUGCCGAAGGAUCGGCCCGCGUCUGAUUAGCUAGUUGGUGGGGUAACGGCCUACCAAGGCGACGAUCAGUAGCUGGUCUGAGAGGAUGAUCAGCCACACUGGGACUGAGACACGGCCCAGACUCCUCCGGGAGGCAGCAGUGGGGAAUAUUGGACAAUGGGCGCAAGCCUGAUCCAGCCAUGCCGCGUGAGUGAUGAAGGCCUUAGGGUUGUAAAGCUCUUUUGUCCGGGACGAUAAUGACGGUACCGGAAGAAUAAGCCCCGGCUAACUUCG